rnacentral:rRNA from 1 species
AUUGAACGCUGGCGGCAUGCCUUACACAUGCAAGUCGAACGGCAGCACGGGUGCUUGCACCUGGUGGCGAGUGGCGAACGGGUGAGUAAUAUAUCGGAACGUACCUUAUUGUGGGGGAUAACGCAGCGAAAGCUGUGCUAAUACCGCAUAAUCCCUAAGGGAGAAAGCGGGGGACCGUAAGGCCUCGCGCAAUUAGAGCGGCCGAUACCUGAUUAGCUAGUUGGUGAGGUAAAGGCGCACCAAGGCAACGAUCAGUAGCUGGUCUGAGAGGACGAUCAGCCACACUGGGACUGAGACACGGCCCAGACUCCUACGGGAGGCAGCAGUGGGGAAUUAUGGACAAUGGGGGCAACCCUGAUCCAGCAAUGCCGCGUGAGUGAAGAAGGCCUUCGGGUUGUAAAGCUCUUUUGUCAGGGAAGAAACAGCAGCUCUAACACAGUUUGCGAAUGACGGUACCUGAAGAAUAAGCACCGGCUAACUACGUGCCAGCAGCCGCCGUAA